rnacentral:rRNA from 1 species
GCGAACGUUAUGCGGCGGGCCUAACACCUGCAAAGUCGAGGGAGAAGAAAGUGGCUUCGGCCCGUGAGUAUAAACCGGCGGACGGUGUAGUAACACGUGGGGUAAUGUACCUAUCGGCGGGGGAUAACAAUCCGAAAGGAUUGCUAAUACCGCAUUCGCCAGCGAGGGCCUUCGGCCCUUGUUGGGAAAGGUGACCUCUCAGCGAAGGCUACCACCGAUAGAUCAGCCCGCGUCCCAUCAGCUAGUUGGUGACGGGUAAUGGCUCACCAAGGCUAAGACGGGUAGCUGGUCUGAGAGGAUGAUCAGCCACACUGGGACUGAGACACGGCCCAGACUCCUACGGGAGGGCAGCAGUGGGGAAUAUUGGGCAAUGGGGGAAACCCUGACCCAGCCACGCCGCGUGAGUGAUGAAGGCCUUCGGGUCGUAAAGCUCUGUGGAGAGGGACGAAAACAGGUUGCUGGCAUUAAUAUCCAGCGACCCUGACGGUACCUCUUUAGCAAGCACCGGCCUACUCCGUGCCAGCAGCCGCGGUAAUACGGAGGGGUGCAACGUUGCUCGUCGAAUUAUUGGGGGCGUAAAGCGCACGUAGGCGGCCUGUUAUGUCGGGUGUGAAAUCCUUCGGCUUAAAACCGAGGAAGUGCAUUCAGAAACUGGCAGGCUUGAAUACUCAAGAGGGUCUCGGAAUUCCCGGUGUAGAGGUGAAAUUCGUAGAUAAUAUCGGGAGGAACACCAGUGGCGAAGGCGGAGACCUGGGGAGAUAUUGACGCUGAGGUGCGAAAGCGUGUGGGAGAGCAAACAGGAUUAGAUACCUGGUAGUCCACGCCGUAACGAUGGAUGCUAGUUGUUGUGGGUAUUGACCCCCGCAGUGACGCAGUUAACGCAUUAAGCAUCCCGCCUGGGGAUACGGCCGCAAGGCUAAAACUCAAAGGAAUUGACGGGGGCCCGCACAAGCGGUAUGGAGCAUGUGGUUCAAUUCGACCGCCAACGCGAAGAACCUUACCUGGGUUAAAUCCAGCAGAAUACUGCAGAGAUGUGGUAGUGCCCUUCGGGGAGCUGCUGAGAAGGUGCGCAUGGCUGUCGUCAGCUCGUGUCGUGAGAUGUUGGGUUAAGUCCCGCAACGAGCGCAACCCUUGUCGCUAGUUGGCAUCAGUUCGGCUGGCCACUCAAGCGAGACUGCCGGCGUUAAGUGCCGGAGGAAGGUGGGGAUGACGUCAAGUCCUUCAUGCGCCUUAUGCCCAGGGCUACACACGUGCUACAAUGGCCGGUACAAAGGGCCGCGAACCCGCGAGGGGGAGCCAAUCCCAAAAAACGCGUUCUCAGUUCGGAUUGGAGUCUGCAACCUGACUCCAUGAAGUCAGGAAUCGCUAGUAAUCCCUGUCAGGCAGGCAGGGGUGAAUACGUUCCCGGGCCUUGUACCACACGCCCCGUCACACCAUGGGAGUCAUUUGCUCCAAGAGAGUGCCAGAUCAACCGCAAGGAGACUGGUCCCCAAGGAGUGAAUGGUCAACUGGGGUG